rnacentral:rRNA from 1 species
UACGAAGGGGGCUAGCGUUGCUCGGAAUUACUGGGCGUAAAGCGCACGUAGGCGGAUUGUUAAGUCGGGGGUGAAAUCCUGGAGCUCAACUCCAGAACUGCCUUCGAUACUGGCGAUCUCGAGUUCGGGAGAGGUGAGUGGAACUGCGAGUGUAGAGGUGAAAUUCGUAGAUAUUCGGAAGAACACCAGUGGCGAAGGCGGGUCUCUGGGCAGUAACUGACGCUGAGGAGCGAAAGCUAGGGGAGCGAACGGG